rnacentral:rRNA from 1 species
AUGCUUAACACAUGCAAGUCGAACGGAAACGACACUGACAAUCCUUCGGGUGCGUUAAUGGGCGUCGAGCGGCGGACGGGUGAGUAAUGCCUAGGAAAUUGCCUUGAUGUGGGGGAUAACCAUUGGAAACGAUGGCUAAUACCGCAUAAUGCCUACGGGCCAAAGAGGGGGACCUUCGGGCCUCUCGCGUCAAGAUAUGCCUAGGUGGGAUUAGCUAGUUGGUGAGGUAAUGGCUCACCAAGGCGACGAUCCCUAGCUGGUCUGAGAGGAUGAUCAGCCACACUGGAACUGAGACACGGUCCAGACUCCUACGGGAGGCAGCAGUGGGGAAUAUUGCACAAUGGGCGCAAGCCUGAUGCAGCCAUGCCGCGUGUAUGAAGAAGGCCUUCGGGUUGUAAAGUACUUUCAGUUGUGAGGAAGGGGGUAACGUUAAUAGCGUUAUCUCUUGACGUUAGCAACAGAAGAAGCACCGGCUAACUCCGUGCCAGCAGCCGCGGUAAUACGGAGGGUGCGAGCGUUAAUCGGAAUUACUGGGCGUAAAGCGCAUGCAGGUGGUUCAUUAAGUCAGAUGUGAAAGCCCGGGGCUCAACCUCGGAACUGCAUUUGAAACUGGUGAACUAGAGUGCUGUAGAGGGGGGUAGAAUUUCAGGUGUAGCGGUGAAAUGCGUAGAGAUCUGAAGGAACACCAGUGG